UACGUAGGUGGCAAGUGUUAUCCGGAUUUAUUGGGCGUAAAGGGUGCGCAGGCGGACUGUUUAGUCUGAGGUGAAAGCGUUGAGCUCAAAUCAAUUAAGCCUCAGAUACUGGCAGACUAGAGUGCAGAAGAGGGUUAUGGAAUUCCAUGUGUAGCGGUAAAAUGCGUAGAUAUAUGGAGGAACACCGGCGGCGAAGGCGGUAACCUGGUCUGUUACUGACGCUCAGGCACGAAAGCGUGGGGAGCAAAUA
rnacentral:rRNA from 1 species